rnacentral:rRNA from 1 species
UACGGAGGGGGCUAGCGUUGUUCGGAAUUACUGGGCGUAAAGCGCGCGUAGGCGGAUCUGCAAGUCGGGGGUGAAAUCCCGAGGCUCAACCUCGGAACUGCCUUCGAUACUGCGGGUCUCGAGUCCGGGAGAGGUGAGUGGAAUUCCUAGUGUAGAGGUGAAAUUCGUAGAUAUUAGGAAGAACACCAGUGGCGAAGGCGGCCCACUGGCCCGGUACUGACGCUGAGGCGCGAAAGCGUGGGGAGCAAACAGG